rnacentral:tRNA from 2 species
ACCGGAUUGGCUCAGUUUGGUAGAGCGCCUGGUUUGGGACCAGGAGGCCGUGAGUUCAAUUCUCGCAUCCGGUA